UAGGGAAUCUUCCGCAAUGGACGAAAGUCUGACGGAGCGACGCCGCGUGAGCGAAGAAGGUCUUCGGAUCGUAAAGCUCUGUUGUUAGGGAAGAAGAAGUACCGUUCGAAUAGGGCGGUACGGUGACGGUACCUAACGAGAAAGCCCCGGCUAACUACGUGCCAGCAGCCGCGGUAAUACGUAGGGGGCGAGCGUUGUCCGGAAUUAUUGGGCGUAAAGCGCGCGCAGGCGGUCCCUUAAGUCUGAUGUGAAAGCCCACGGCUCAACCGUGGAGGGUCAUUGGAAACUGGGGGACUUGAGUGCAGAAGAGGAGAGCGGAAUUCCACGUGUAGCGGUGAAAUGCGUAGAGAUGUGGAGGAACACCAGUGGCGAAGGCGGCUCUCUGGUCUGUAACUGACGCUGAGGCGCGAAAGCGUGGGGAGCAAACA
rnacentral:rRNA from 1 species